rnacentral:lncRNA from 1 species
CUCUUGCCAUGAAGGACAUGAUGAUCGUGGACACCAACUACUUUACUAAAUAAAUUGAGGCCGAAGCUCUGUCCUCUACUAAAAAGCCGAUGUGGAACGAUUCAUCUAAAGAAACAUCAUCUGCCGAUUCGGCUGACCACAGUUGCUAGUCACCAACAACGGAUCCCAAUUCAUAUGCAUGCAAAUCAUCACAUUCCUUGCAAAGUAUGGCAUCAAAAAG